AGAAGGAUCUCUGGUUGGAGAUUCCUCCUUUGUGAAGUCUUCUCAGUGUGCCUAGAUCUUUGGAGAUGGAGCUGACUGAAGAAAAGGAUAAAUGGAAUAAAACUGGCCAACGUCAGAGGAUGUCCUACAUCAACUUACUUUCCUAGGUGAUUCGUGCUGCCUGAAAAGAUUAAAAAUCUCAUUAAAAGAGAGGAGUGAGGUGCCUGGAUUCACGUCUCAGCGCAAUCCCAACCAGACUCAGACUUCCAGCACCAAACUUGGUUUCCAGACCCCGGGCUUUAUCUGCAUCCUGGCAGGCUUCAUCCCAGCAACUAUUAUUUCUCUGGAAUAUCCCAACAUGGGCUUAGUGCCAAGCACACUGGUGUUGGAGAGGAGAAGCUGAUCUGCAGCUGUUCUCACCAUGAGGAAAUGCAGGUAUCUUGCAACAGGGGCCAGAUGGUUCGGGAAAUGGAAAAUGGCAUAAAAGAAUUGCAAGUAACAAUCUACUGAAGAUCAGAAAUAGCCACGUUGCCUUCUGAGGUCUAUACAGCAACCAGUUUAAAUGAACCUGGAGAGUGGGUCUCACUUCAGCAACCAGUCUUGUAACAUCAAAUUCCAUAAGCAUUUCUUCCAUAUGACAAGAAGAAACAAAAUACAUAGAGCUGCAGACAGCCCUGUAGAUGACACUGAAGCUAGAAAAUCCUGAGAUUUCAAACUGCAGCAAGGAAAAGGCUAGAUGUUGAGUAAAUACAGAACUGAAAGGAAGAAAAUGAAACUGCCUCUGCUACAAAAUUGUAAUUGUUGAGAAUAAAUCUGUAAAAGCACAUCAGCCUUGCACUGUGAAAAUACUGACAUCAUCCUCUAAUACAGUUAGCGAAAUUCUGGAGACCAUAUUAGAAAAUCAGAAAACAGCAUCAAGAAAUAUUCUUCUCAAUAAGGUCCAGUACAAGAAUAAUUAAUUAGUUCA